CUUCUAGCCUGAGCUUCUCAAUGCAAGUGCCACUCCUUCCUAAGUUGGGAGCAUUUUAAGGCUGAGCCCUGGACCAGUUCUCCUACACUGCUCUCCAUGGAUAGCACUCUGAGCACCUUUUGAAUAGAGAAACCUUGCAGUGACUUACUUUUCUGGAGGAGAAUAGAUUUCCAAGAGGAACCCCUGCCAAAGAUUCUAUCUGGAGUGAAGAAGACCAAAUAAGAAUCAGUCCCACCCUCUGUUUUCUCAACUACUGGUAAAAUCCAAGAAAGCCAAGGAACAUAUAAUCUUAGAUGGACAAUAAGAAAAGUAUGUAAGACAAAUUGGAGGCAACUUUAAAAUGUGUCCUUGAUUUUAAUCAAGGAUGCUGCUGGAAAUUAAAGGCAUCAUUAUGGGCCCCAUUCUCUAACCCUCACUCAUAUUGACUAGUUCCAUUGAUUCAACAUG